rnacentral:lncRNA from 1 species
CAUCGGCCGCGCAUCUGAGCGCUGGCCUGUUCGGGCACCCGUCUGCCUGUUUUUCUAUUUUGGGAUUUAGCCUGGUUUGGUGGCCUCCCGGCGAAUUAUUGCGUUCAUUCGGAACUUCGACAUGGCAGCACUGCACUAUUGGACUACGGCAAGCUCACGUCGUCUGGUGGAGCUUCCUGCGGAAACUACUGCUGCUUACCUGGUGCCACAACGUUGGAUGAAUGCACAAAAGCCCGCGACGAGCAUUUACAAAGAAUAAAAUAAACGUUAAUUUUUCCUCAUUUCACAA